UUUUCAGGCUUUAACAAAUCCAGCAAUGCUAUGUCAGCCAUGAGGUCAUCUACAGUAUACAAUAUAUUUAUUUAUUCAUUUCCGGGUAAUAUAAAUACCCCAUCACUCCCCUGUAAAUCAUCCAUCCCAGAAACAUCAAUACAAAUGCUUCUUCCUCCUUCUCCAUUUCAGUGUUCUUCAUCUUUAGUUUAAGAUUCUCAAUUUCUUAUUAAUAUCACAGUUAUAAUUAAUAUUUCAUAACAUGUUAUCAGCACGAGUUGCUCUUUAGCCAUCUCUUCUAUGCACCUCCUAAGCCACCAUAUUCUCUCACGCACUUUGCUAUGUCUAUACCGUGAUUACCGUCCGUUUGGACGAAGACCUCAGCGCCAUAGCUCACCAAUCGGAUCCAUGGCUCUAUGCGCGACAAACCAGGCACACGCUUUGUUUUGCCGGGACGGCAAAGUCUAUACAGCUCAGUAAACCGUGGCCCAGUCCAUCCCCUACGCUACGUACCUUAACUCCACCAGCUGCACCACCUCCGUCAAACUUGCGAGAUGAGACCAGAGAUGUCACCACCGUCGGCUGCCUACCGCAGUGACAGGCGGUAGGUCGUGGUUCGUCGAUCGGCGGAUCGACAAUACCACCACCUAGCUGCUCCAACUUCGCCAAUGACCAAACUCCGGCGAGCUGCCUGCGAACUAACCAGGCCAACGCCAACUCCAAAGCCGGCCAGUAUCACCCCGACGCACGCCACCGCCGGCCAGAGGGAAUCCAGUGUUCUUCUGUUGCCGUGCUGGAAUCUCUGUCUCUGCACGGUGUAUGGAUGUACUGGAAUAUGGUUUGCUGGUUUCCUCCUCUCUCUACUAUUACAUAUUACUCCGUAUAUAUUAAGGUUAAAAGAAUUGCAGCCGAGGACAUAUCAAGCAUGAGGACAAUAAAUUACAAUGCUCAAGAAAACAUGUAGUCUUAAAAUCUGAUAAAGUUUCAUAGCAAAUGGCCAAAUGGGUUUUUAAAAUUAUAAUGGGUUGAUGGUGGCCACGUGAAUUGAAGCCAAGUAUUGUUAUUAUUAUUAUUAUUAAAUGUGGAGGAAUAAUUGGAAAGACAAAUAGUAAAAGAAGAAUAAUAAUAAUAAAUGGGGAAUUCUUGAGCCUUGUGAGAAUUUGUCCUAUGUGUAUGUCUUCAUGUGCAAUGCUAUGGUCUUGUUUCGGGUAAAGACAAAUACAAAAGAGGAGAGUUUUUUACCGUGUUUUUAGGGAAAAAGAAGAAGGAAUUCAGUGUAGGAUUGAACACGCCGAUCUUUGGGUUUAUAUGGGAAAUCUUGACCAUACUCAUAAGGUUUGCCCCUUCAUAUUUUAAUAUGAUAAAAUAUUAUUCAUGCCAUUUAUAUUCAUAUGAUAAUAGUUAUGUGCAAAUGAUUAUUAUGUGCACUAGUCAAAUAUUUGACAUGAUUAUAUUUCCUAAAAUUAUCACUAUGGCAUGAUAAAAGUAUAUAUGAUCUAUGUAUUUACAUCCAAUUGAUGAUUUAAUUUUGAGAGCAUUUGAAAUGUGGAAUACUAUGAUAAGUAUUUUAAAA